rnacentral:misc_RNA from 1 species
AUUGAAGAACCGAUCUUUGUGAUAUCCACUUCGUCUAUGUAUUUAAGAUAUGGCUGUACGAUGGAGCAGCGAAAAUGUUGUCGCCGAACACAGAGAUUUACAGGCUACUGCCAUGGCACUGGAUUGGCGUGGGGACUACACACUUCUUGCGGGGAGACGUAACCUAGCACUUAUCUCUUUGGAGAAGCCAUUAGAGAUUGUCAAGAGGGUCAACAGAACACAACAGAAGUAUGAUGUCACAGCAGCUGAGUGGAACCCAAAGCAAGCCAUGGGACACACCUUCGUGAUUGCUUCUGGUGAAAAAGCUGAGAUAUGCCAAUGGACGGAGGGGAGUCUGAAUGGCAUGACGACACUACGGGCCCACACAAGAACAAUAACAGAUCUCAACUGGCACCGUUUCGAUCCUCACCUGCUUGUAACUUGCUCUAUAGACACCUUUGUCCACAUCUGGGAUACUCGGGAAACACGCAAGCCCAUUGCCUCUCUCUCGGCUAUUGCUGGGGCAUCACAGGUAAAGUGGAACAAAUUGAAUCCACACCUCCUGGCCUCUGGUCAUGACUGUGAUGUGCGUGUGUGGGACCACCGCAAGACAGGUCAGCCCAUGCAGUAUAUUGCAGCUCACCUCUCCAAGAUCCAAGGCCUGGACUGGUCACCCAACCAUGAGAACCACCUUGUCACCUCAUCUAACGAUUGCACAGUGAAGUUCUUUGAUAUCCUCAACCCUCGCAAAGCUGAGAACUUUAUCAACACUUUGUCUCCAGUGUGGCGGGCGCGAUACACGCCCUUUGGCGAGGGGGUGGUGGCGGUGGUGGUCCCCCAGCUGCGACGGGGGGAGAACUCCCUACGCCUUUGGUCAGUUACAGACAUGAGCUCUCCCGUGCAUACCUUCGUGGGCCAUUCAGAUGUUGUGCUGGAGUUUGAGUGGCGGCAGAACCUAAGCAACCCUGGAGACUACCAGCUGGUGACGUGGGCACGUGACCACAGCCUCAGGAUUUGGAAGAUAGACCACCAGCUGCAGAAGCUAUGUGGACACGAGAUGGAGGAAGAGGCCAUGUUAACAGAGCGCACAGACAGUGAUUAUACCAGUGACACCACACCAACACCAGGUCCUGAGACAAAUGACUUAGAUGCAGAUGGAGAGAGGAGAGACUUUGUCCUCACCAACAGUGACACACAGCAGACUGAAGAUGCGGAUAACUCUGUUGUUGAUGGAUGUGACCCGGAUAAAAGCAUUUCCUCAAACAAAUUCAGUCUGGAUGGUGCAAAUGAUAGUACACAAGAAGCAGCCAGUGGGACACCACGGGACUCUGAGAGUUUGCUGGCCGAGACUGUUCCUUCUCAGACAUCUCAGACUCGAGUCCAGUCAGCAGCCACCCCUUCACCCUCACAUCAGGUCACCAGCUUCACCAGCACUCUCCCUGCGGCAAACAAAGCAAGCACGUCAGUGGUAGGCCUCUCUUCGACUCUUCCUGCCGGCAGCAGCCUGACUGUAGGACAGCCCAUGACACUGCAGCAGGAGUUCUCUCUACUGAACACGUCACUGGACAACAACCAAGUCAAUUCUGUAGAAGUUGUGACUGAGCUGGAGAAGAGGAUGUGCCAGGUGACAGCCAAGCACGGCAACCACACUGUCUGUCUCACAGUGAACUUCCCCCUGACGUACCCCCGCCAGCACUCUCCCACCUUCAGGUUCUCCUAUGGCACCACCAUCGACUAUGCAUGCAAGACGGAGCUGUUGAAGGUGCUGAAAAACACAGCCAGCUCAUACCAGCGAAAGCGCAAGGCAUGUUUGGAGCCAUGUAUUAGAGUGUUCGUCACACAGAUGAAGGCAUUGCUGGGGGACGAGAGAGUGAAUUCUGUGGAGGCGAGACUGAGUGGUGGUGGCUACCCAGGACAAGUUUAUGGCAGCUUUCAGGACCACAGUGUGCCCUUCCCAAGGACGUCAGGUGCAAGGUUUUGCAGUGCUGGGCUGCUGGUAUGCUUUGCACGGCCUACCUUUAUGAAGAAGGGUUCCUCCAGGACCGAGUCGUGCACACCCCGUUCCCUCUCGGCACUGGGGGCGUACAUCACCAACUUUAUGCCCCAGAUCUCCAGUGCUGUGCCCACCUCGCCCAAGUAUAACUUCAUGUACAGUGCCCUCAGCCAUAGCCCUUCCACGGAGCAGAACAUCUCCAUCUCAAAUUACUAUUACCAGGACAAGAAGGUGAAGAGCAAGCGUGGCAAGAGUGAAGACGAAAGCGGACGCUCAUUUAAGGCCGGAAAUGUCCUCCUCUAUGAUAUCAAGUGCCUCAUGCCAUUCUCCAAGGAGCUCGGGAUGACAUACAUAUUGGAUGAAAAUGACCUGGUUGGCACGUGCACACAUAACCGAGAUGCAGCAGCAGCUGUGGGACGCAAAGACCUUGUGCAGGUCUGGUCCCUGGCAGCUGCAACAGCAUCUUCUAGUGUUCUUGGAGGGACAGAGAGCAAUGACUUCCCUUGGACGUACCAUCCCUUUGCCCGCAGAAUGAUCAACUCCCUGCUAGACCACUACCUCGCCCUGACUGACGUGCAAACGGCGACAAUGCUUAGUUGUGUGUUCGGCACGAAGACAGAGCCCCAGAAUUCUUCUUAUCCUCGCAAGAACAGGACUGAAUCCAAUAGUCUUAACCCUCCGUACGAAUCGCUCCGAGGGUCCCAGAGACAGUCGUUUGUUUGGGCUAAGUUAAACCGUCUAAGCCUGCUACGGGGCGGUAAGGUAAAACCGGAGGUUCCCCCUACAACACCAUUCAUGGUCUCAACAUGAGUCUGGAGGGCUGGGAUCUCUGUAUGGUGAGACAUAACAGGUCGAACUCGGAAGGAUCGCUGUCAGAAGCUUCAAGACCGCCCCAGGAGAUGGACCUACCUGCUCUUGAAGCCACAGACACCCUGCAUAGGAACUCAACCAAAUUCCUUGACUGCAGCAGAAGCCAGCAGUAUGACGAGUUGCGGAAGGCCUAUGCAGACAUCCUCUACCGCUGGGGUCUCCUCAAACAACGGGCGAUGGUUCUGAAGUACUUGCAAGCCCAACCACCAGCUCACAAGGGUGUCGAGUUCCCCACCGACUGUGU